CUAACCGCCAUCAAUAAUAUGCACAUCGUACAAUGCAACUUCAGUUCUUUUUCUCCAAAAAUAUAUAUUUAAUUAGUGGGCGAGUUCAAAUUAGAAAGAUAUAGUCUUUAAAAAGCUUGAAAGUUGUAAGAGAAAGUGAGGUUGAGAGAUCAAAUCCCUUUCUGGCAUUUUCUCAAACAGAUUAGAAGCAACCUCAAACCCAUUCUCCAAUUUCACACAGUCACUGAUCAGAAUAUUCCAAAGUGAUUAAAAUUUUCAUAUCCAAUGGCAUCGAAUCAAACAAUUCCCCAGCUGAAUCCACCAUCCCACAUUUUACAUACCCAUCAAUCAUCAAAUUAUAUAUAAAAAUAAUACUUCAGAUGCAACAUGUCAAACACCAGCCGACCAAAUUGGAUACGCCCACAUUUUAUGUACAUGCAAAUCAAACAAUUCUGCAAAAAUACAUCCAACGGAAAUUCGUAUUUGGACAGCAACCCAUGAAUCUGCAUACCUUUCUUUACUAAAUUCAUCCUUGAACAUGAUUUUAACACUAAAAAAUGGAAUACUCGCCCACUAAAACCCCAUUAAUAAGCAUUAAAGCAAGCACUUGGAAGGCAUUUUCCGGGUCAUCUCCAUGAGAAUAAGAUUUAAUGAUUAAAUUCCAAAUAAAAGUGUCUUAACAAUUUUGAGUAAAAAAAGAGGUAUCUUGCAAAAUAAACGAGGGGUUCGUCUGUGAAUGAGUGAAACCAAACUCAGAUCCCCUCUCCCAUCCUCUCCCUCCUCUCUGAAACUCAUUCUUUUUAAACUUUCGCUUUCCCCCAUAAUUAAAUUCCAAUCGAACAAGAUUACGUACCUGCUCAGAUUGUAGGACCUCGUCGGAGUGGAGAAUGUUGCCGGACGGAGGAUGUCGUCGUGUGGACUUCUUGGAGACGGCUCGACGGCGUCGAAUGAAGUGAGAGAGGAGAGGGGAGAAGAGGGCAAAUUUCCGUGUUUUAAAUUUUUAAUGGAAU
rnacentral:lncRNA from 1 species